UGGGGAAUAUUGGACAAUGGGCGCAAGCCUGAUCCAGCCAUGCCGCGUGAGUGAUGAAGGCCCUAGGGUUGUAAAGCUCUUUCACCGGUGAAGAUAAUGACGGUAACCGGAGAAGAAGCCCCGGCUAACUUCGUGCCAGCAGCCGCGGUAAUACGAAGGGGGCUGGCGUUGUUCGGAUUUACUGGGCGUAAAGCGCACGUAGGCGGACUUUUAAGUCAGGGGUGAAAUCCCGGGGCUCAACCCCGGAACUGCCUUUGAUACUGGAAGUCUUGAGUAUGGUAGAGGUGAGUGGAAUUCCGAGUGUAGAGGUGAAAUUCGUAGAUAUUCGGAGGAACACCAGUGGCGAAGGCGGCUCACUGGACCAUUACUGACGCUGAGGUGCGAAAGCGUGGGGAGCAAACAGG
rnacentral:rRNA from 1 species